GAGUAAGGCAGGUGUGGCUGUCUUCCCUGGCAGCAUCCCUGUUCUCACCCAGCGCCAGCGUUGGUGAAUUCUCCGAGCUCUUUCCUACCUUCUCCAAGAGGAAAAUCUGCUCCACGGGGAAGUGAGUACUUCACUGAAGAUGCUUGAGGGUAACAUGAAGUUCUUACUGUGAUCAGCCUACAGAAGGAUGAACUUGGGUUUCCUGGGUAACUUCUGGAGUACGAAGACGAGCUCAUCCCACCUUCAUUUGAGUCCAGAAUGAUUUCACAUCAGCAUUGCUCAUUCCCAGCCCAAGUCUGUGCACAUAAUUAUAUUUAGAAACCAAGAGAAUGGGAACAGGUCCCCUAAACCUCUAAGUUUAAGGGGUGAUGUGUUAAUUCCUGGUCUGUGUCUAGGCCUCUUGGAUCAGCUGCCAUAGAGAAUCUAGGGGUGAGGCCAAGCCCAACUUUUUUUCCUGGUUUGGGGCCAGAUACCUAUGGUGUUGCACUCUCUCAAGCUGGAAGGAAAGAUGUAAGCUUGGUAGAUUACAAAAUUGCAUGUGUCAUUAGAAAAAGAUGUCAGAAUGCUUUAUUUAAAACUUUCUGUUUUCUCAGGUUGUACUGCCCAAGUGUAUCUUGGCAUAGACAACUUCAGCUUCAAAAAUUCCAAGAUGUAUAAAGAGUUUCACAUA